AUUGAACGCUGGCGGCAGGCCUAACACAUGCACGUCGAACGGUAACAGGAAGAAGCUUGCUUCUUUGCUGACGAGUGGCGGACGGGUGAGUAAUGUCUGGGAAACUGCCUGAUGGAGGGGGAUAACUACUGGAAACGGUAGCUAAUACCGCAUAACGUCGCAAGACCAAAGAGGGGGACCUUCGGGCCUCUUGCCAUCGGAUGUGCCCAGAUGGGAUUAGCUAGUAGGUGGGGUAACGGCUCACCUAGGCGACGAUCCCUAGCUGGUCUGAGAGGAUGACCAGCCACACUGGAACUGAGACACGGUCCAGACUCCUACGGGAGGCAGCAGUGGGGAAUAUUGCACAAUGGGCGCAAGCCUGAUGCAGCCAUGCCGCGUGUAUGAAGAAGGCCUUCGGGUUGUAAAGUACUUUCAGCGGGGAGGAAGGGAGUAAAGUUAAUACCUUUACUCAUUGACGUUACCUGCAGAAGAAGCACCGGCUAACUCCGUG
rnacentral:rRNA from 1 species